UAGGUAUAGGGGAGAGCAGGUAGGAUUCGUACAGUAGGAGCAUUCGUACAGUCCUUAUUCCUACCACUGUAGAAUACUUUGACAGGUCUGUGUUUGUGUGCGUGAGACCCACUCGCACGCAUAGGUUACUCGCGGGGUGAGACGUCAGUGCAGCCGCCGGCUUCGACGCAACGAGUCGUAACGUGAUUUCGCGCCAAAACCAUGCCGCGAAUAUAUAUUAAAAAGGGACGAGGACGGGAGAGGUAGAUGAAGGUGCAAUAGAAUCGGCGAUAAAAGAAGUUUUGGAUAAGACAUUAUCUAUUAGAAAAUCUGCACAAAAAUAUGGCGUCAAACCAACAACACUCGAAAGUCGUCUGAAAAAGUUUCAUCAACAAGAAGCUGCCGAAAAUAUGCCUACCCGUGCGUUCACUUCCAAGUUUACGUCAAAUCAGGUGUUUUCAACUGAGGAGGAAGCCCUUUUAAACAAUUACAUUAUUGAAUGCUCCAAAAUGCACUACGGUCUGACGAUCAUCCAGGUCAGAAAAUUGGCAUAUGAGUUUGCAAAAGCCAAUCAGCUUAAUUUUCAUCCGAGUUGGCAUCAUAAUAAAAUGGCUGGUAAAGAAUGGUUGGAUAGUUUCCGCAGGCGAAACGGAAACCUGAGUCUUAGAAAGCCUGAAAAUACCAGCAUAUUUUGAAUCCUUUACUGGUAAAAAUAUCACUCAUGCCUUUGAGAAGGCCGGAAUAUGGCCUUUUAAUAGGUUAGCUUUUGGCGACGAUGAUUUUGCACCUGUGAAUGUAUACUAUUCUAGUUCAACCCAAGAUGCUCAAACGAACCCACAAGCUUCAACUUCUUCACAACCACAAGCGUUACAAUCCACGCAAGAUAAGCAAUCAAGUUCUGUAGCCGUUCAAGAUUACGAUGUGCCAGAGACCAUACCAGCAGACCCCAUACAGACAGAGUUUAUUCAACAAAACCUUCCAAGUUGUUCAUCAUCUGUGUCUCCAUCUUUGCUAUCACCUACAACAGUAACAGAUUGCUCACCAGCUGUGGGGUUGAUCACCCCAGAGUUAGUCAGGCCAUAUCCUAGAGUGGACAGAGAUUCAAUAAAGAAAACAAGGAAAGGAAAGCUACCAGGCAAAUCUAGAAUUUACACUGAUACUCCGGAAAAAGAUAGACUGGCAGAAAUAGAAAAAGGAAGACUAUUGAAGAAGCAAGUGCAAGAGAAAAAACAAAAAGCUAAGGCCAUCAAAGCUCUACAUCUUGUCUUAGAUGCAGAUAACGCAUCUUCAAUAAAGAGGAAAUCUCAAUCGAAAGAGUCAUUUAAUUUAAAGAAGCAAAAGAAAACUACAAAGACUGAUAAUGAAGCAAAUGCAUAUUAUAUGAUACCUAUGAAUACCUAAAUAAUAUAUCUUGGUUCUUAAUACAAAAAUGCUGAUUCUGUGUUAAAUUGAUCUCAAUAAAUGAUUAAAUUUAAUCAACAA